rnacentral:rRNA from 1 species
AUUGAACGCUGGCGGCAGGCUUAAUACAUGCAAGUCGAACGAGUGGCGGAUGGGUGAGUAACGUUUGGGAAUCAGGCUUAUGGCGGGGGUUACCGAAGGGAAACGGUAGCUAAUCCCGCGUACCAUCAGAUGAGCCCACGUGUGAUUAGGUAGUGGGUGGGGUAAAGGCUGACCAAGGCGCCGAUCCCUAGCUGAUCUGAGCGGAUGACCAGCCACACUGUAACGACGACAAGGUGCAGACUCCUACGGGAGGCAGCAGUAGUGAAUAGGCCACAAUGGGAGAAAGCCUGAUGCAGCCAUGCCGCGUGUGUGAAGAAGGCCUUCGGGUUGUAAAGCGCUUUCAGCGGGGAGGCGUUACCCGAAGAAGAAGCACCGGCUAACUCCGUGCCAGCAGCCGCGGUAAUUC